GGCUAUCUGGCCCAAUGGUUAAGGCGCCUGCCUACGAUGAGGUUAAGCAGGAGACUCCAGGUUCGAGUCCUGGGAUGGUCG
rnacentral:tRNA from 1 species